UACGGAGGGUGCAAGCGUUAUCCGGAUUUACUGGGUUUAAAGGGUGCGUAGGUGGGCAGGUAAGUCAGUGGUGAAAUCUUCAAGCUUAACUUGGAAACUGCCAUUGAUACUAUUUGUCUUGAAUAUCCUGGAGGUAAGCGGAAUAUGUCAUGUAGCGGUGAAAUGCUUAGAUAUGACAUAGAACACCCAUUGCGAAGGCAGCUUACUACGGGAUUAUUGACACUGAGGCACGAAAGCGUGGGGAUCAAACAAG
rnacentral:rRNA from 1 species